GUCUCCUGUGCCUGCUGUGCUGAUAAUCAGUGUGUGACGUUGGCUGGCUCAGUUCAGCAGGAACAGGGGAC
ncrna:Takifugu rubripes (torafugu) microRNA fru-mir-24 precursor (fru-mir-24-2)